CAGCCGCCGCGGUAAUACGAAGGGUGCAAGCGUUACUCGGAAUUACUGGGCGUAAAGCGUGCGUAGGUGGUUGUUUAAGUCUGCUGUGAAAGCCCUGGGCUCAACCUGGGAAUUGCAGUGGAUACUGGGCAACUAGAGUAAGGUAGAGGAUAGUGGAAUUUCCGGUGUAGCAGUGAAAUGCGUAGAGAUCGGAAGGAACAUCUGUGGCGAAGGCGACUAUCUGGGCCAUUACUGACACUGAGGCACGAAAGCGUGGGGAGCAAACAGGAUUAGAUACCCCCGUAGUCCCUGUCCCUUAUAC
rnacentral:rRNA from 1 species